ensembl:lncRNA
CACACACACACACACACACACACACACACACACACACACACACACACACACACACACACACACACACACACACACACACAACACACACACACACCAAUGGGUGACGAAGAUGACCAUAUUUUGAUUGAGAGUAAAUAUACUUUAUAAUCACAGUGUCAUGCAACAAUGCAACAUACAGUGCAAUUGAGUUUAUUUCAGUGGCUUUCACAUCCCAUCCAACUCUGUGUCAGUAAAUUAGUAUCAGUGGGUGGUGCUCCGCUCAGAAGAGAUUUAAAAGCUCCUAAAUAUCUUAUCACGGUGAGUUGGCUAGAUUUACCUACGUAUAGCCAUUACAGACAUCAGACAACUUGAAGACAUUGUUAAGAAAUAACAUUGAAACUGUAGCUAGCAUUCUCAAAAACCAAGCAAAGCUAUCAUAAUGAUUAUAUUUUUAAAAGCUCUCAAAGACAUGCAAAAUGUUUGUUUUCAUGUAAACCAACUCUGAACAAGACACUGUGUGCUGAAACUCUGGAGUUUCCCCAUUACAGUAUUGGGAGAUUUUAGAGAGCAACUCUCUUUAUUUAUUUUGUACAGGUUUUGAAGUACUCUACUUUAUCUGGGAUGUCACUUCAGUCAGAGAGAGAGUGGUGUGGCAGGCAGCUUUCUGGGCCAGGUCAGGAGGUCAUCAACAGUGGGAAAAUAGUGUUCCCUCAUAGUGUUCCAGGCACAGGUGUUGCUGACGCAACGCAGUACGUUUCUAAGUUUACAGGGAAAAGAUUCAACACCAAGAGAGCUACUGGGUAAUUUACAUGGACAUAAUUGGUCCUAUGUAUAAUAUCAAGCUAAUUGUACGCUAAACAACACAUGUCCCCAGAGGCUGAAGUGAAGGCUGGGGGAGGCUGUAAGACCAUGAUGGCAGUGAUGGUGUGCUAAUGAUCACUCUUAACACCUGUCUGUCACUGGGACUAUGUACCUCAGCCUAGAUGCAUGUCUCCAGCUGCUUUGGCUGUUAGGCAUGUAGGGCAGAUCCAACUGUAGGAACCAAGGGGAAAGGAACAGAAGGAACAAAAGAGACAUUAUGGAAGUUUAGUUGCUACUUUCAGGUCGUA